ensembl:snoRNA
UUAGCCCUGAAUCAAGGCCAGCAGCUUGUAGUAGCUGUUGGUUUCAAACAGCGGCUAAAAUCAGAACUCUUCUAAUUGUUUGUUGACUUUCCUAGAUUUCCAAAAUAGGGAAUAGAGGAAGUCUGUUCAGUUGAAGAGACAUACC